rnacentral:lncRNA from 13 species
UGGGCAUUCCUUGGCCUUCCUUUCACCACCUGUUACCUCAUUUCAUUCAGAAUUCCUGGAAGAGGCUGCGCUGGAAUCCCUGGUUUUCCUCAAGUGUGGAAAACACAGCACUGAUGAGAUACCAGUUGAUUUUCAGCAGUAAACUUGUAAGAAAUCGUGACUGAUGUGUAUUUAUUUUUAUAGUUAUCUCCUGCUUUGGUGAGAAAUACUGGGCUUCCAGUUAGUAUAGCAAUGAACUGUUUCCCUUAUGUUUAACUUUACUUAUUUAUUAUUAUUUUUAAAUAAAAAUAACUCUUUGUUUUCGAGACAGGGGCUUGCUCUGUUGCUCAGGAUGGAGUGCCGUGGUGUGACCUUGGCUCACUGAAGCCUCGAACUAACUCCUGGGCUCAAGUGAUUCCCCUGCCUCAGCCUCCAGAGUAGCUGGGACCAUGGUAGGUGUGCACCACCACGUCCUGCUAAUUAAAAAAAAUUUGGGGGCACUUGAUGUUGGUGCCUGCUUGGGUCUCUUUCAAGUGUACUUUCCUUUCUUUCCUGUUCUAAAACCUUUUAAACAAACUUCCACUCCUGCUCUGAAUUUUUAAGAGCGGAGUUUUCUCUCUAUAUCCU